UGCUCUUACGAUCUGUGUAAUUGCAGUUAAUUCGCGCGAGCCGACUUUAUUUUUCUCCCCUGCACAUUUAAUGAAAAUUACGCUUCUGACAAAUGUUGCAGAUUAACCGGUGUCCCGUGUGACGUUCAGCAAUGUGUUUACAC